UAAUUAUUAGGGCAUGGCCAGCACUGCUCCACGUAUGUGUUAUUGGCUGCCCCUCCUGUCUAUCUCGCUCUCUUUUUCUACUUUAACCCAGCACUAUUUCCGCUUCCUUGUCUGUGUUUGUUUUUUGUCUCUCUGCUCUGCGCUCGCAAGAUAGUAUCAGCUAUUUUCCUACCUGCUCACUCUGCGCCGUUCAAAACGCAGCGUCAUUCUCAACUUGGUCUGCGUUUUCAUCAGUUUCAACAUCACCGCUGCACUGCAACUGUUUUACACCGGCGCCUCACAGACCAUGGUUACCACGGCAACGCCUCAGCGAGUGACUACUGGGAGUGGUAAGUUGCUACGGCGACCAGGCAGCUUUAACAGGCAAUGAGAGCCUGUGCCACACGACUGCAAUUUCUGGCUCCUGCUGCAGCGCUUUUGCAACAUGAGAGCUUCAACUCGCCGAAUUGUGACAUCUAAAUACUGCAGGCUCCUCUUCUAGACCUACAUUAACUUACUUAUAUCAUCACUAACUGUGCUAAAGCAAAUGCUUAAUACAUAGACAAGGAUUGUAAUCGCAAUAACCAAAUAUAUGCUACCCUGCUUCACUGAAGCCAAUAGUUUCAAUUCCAAUCAAAACCUCUAGAUGGCAGCAUAUCACCACAAGCUCUACAUAAUUUAAGAUGAUUUGCUAUCGCUGCGAAUCUGGCACUCUCCAAACCUUCUAUCAAUUCCUGCAGUUCGUUGUCUUUUUGAGGGAUUCUCAGUACCCUCCUGCCUCAACCUCUUUUUCUACAUAUAUUAACUUGAAUUUUUUCAAAUCCAAACUCCUCCCCUUGAGAACCUUGUCAUGAAGCCAUGCUUAUCAGCUUUCUGAGAUGUUAAGAAUCCACCGUCACAUUAAUUUACAGCUUCCCUGCAUCAGGCCAUUCCUGCAACCUUCUUGUUCCUGGAUUUGCACUUCCUUAUUUGCCCCCAACUUCAUCAAGGCACUUAAUAUAACUUUCAAAGUCCAUUUCAUUCAAUUUGAGCUACCAGUCACAUUCGGAAACUAUGUGCUACGAUUAUCAACAUUUCAGUCAAGCGUCCUCGUAUCCCGCAAUGGACAAUACACUCUUAGACUGCUCCUGAUCAAAUCAAUAGGUUUUGUAGCAGCCUCCGAGCAACGCAUUCCUAUCCUCUCAGGUUCUGCAGCGGCCUCAGAUCUAUGCAUUCUUCAUUUCUGCCCAAAGGCAGCCCCAUCGCCAUCAUCUAAAAACGCCUUAACUCUCAAAUACCAAUUUUCACCGCAUUCAGCAGCUCUCUGCUCUCUACAGCAGGCCACUGCAGACUACUGACAGCAUUCCAUCGUUUACCCCUCAGAUCUCUGCCCGUUCAGCAGAUCUUGCCUCUACUGUUAAUAUUUCCUCAUUACAGCAAAUCUCGGCUCCCUCUUCAGAUCUGCUUCUAUUGCAGCAUACAAAAGUGGCUUUAUUUACUGUUCAAAUCUGCAACUGCUCUCCUCCAGAGCUUCCAACACUCCAGCUUUCCUCCAAUACCUGGAUCUAAGAGAUAUAUAUAUACACGGAGAGCUUGACUUCCUCAGCAAUUUAGUCAUAUGUCCGCUCAUCCUCUCAGAUACUACAAGCUUUAAUAUAUGGUACGAGACUGGAAAUCUGUUUGAUUUAUGAAUUAAGGAGUUCCACUAUUUGGAGAAUGAUUGGAGUUGUGAAACCCAAAUCUCUGAUUUAUGAGUUCACCUUUUCCAUUCCAAACAGACAAGAUGGUAGCAAACCGCUGAUCAAUCCUGUAUUAACUAACACAGGAUGGUUGGCAUCUCAGCUCUCUGCCUUAGUUUUAAAAACAUCUCAGCAGUCGAUUUCAUAUGUUUGUUCAGGUCCAGCUGCCACCUCAGCCCUCAUCAAACUCUGCAACACCAACAUCUGCCGUUCAACUAAAUACAACACUCUCCAACCUUCUGCAAUCUGCUCAUCACUACAUGGCCACACUCUUAGUCCCAGCGACCAAAUCUUCAUUUACCUCUGGAUGGAAAACAUUUACAACUUUCUGCACUCAAAAUACAUCCCAUUCUGAUUUAAUGAACAACGGAUUCUAGCCUCCAUCGCCCAUGCAAGGGAUUCUCUUCACUUAGCCCCCUCUACCGUUAAAGCCUACAUCUCCGGAAUUUAGUAUUUCUGCCGCCUCAUCUCCAUCCCUUCUUCAACACUCCUAUCCAUCCCAUCAGUUUGCUUGACACUCGGAGAGAUCCUCAAGAGCCCCCCCCCUGCUGCUCCCUCCUGGCUCCCUAUAUCAAUAGACAUUCUUCACUCUUUAAUAUCUACCCUCAGAAAAAGCUGCUCUGUCUAUGCAAUGACCUUACCUUGGAAGUACUAUGUCUAACUGCUCUUGUGAAGCACUUCCUCUGCAGGAUUCCUGAAGGAACAGAGUGCACCCUGUGAACUUACCGUGACAACACCUGUGAUUUACCGUUUUUAAAAAAAAAAAAAAAAAAAAAAAAAGCAAGAGUACCAAGACAUCAAGGGGAAUACAAUGGAUAGACUCUGACCGUUAAGCCAUUUCAACCAUGAGGUCUUGUGAACCAUUCCACGCACCCAGAUACUGGACUUUGGCCAGCUGUAGUAAUUUUUACUACAGAAUACUACACCUUGCAGUUAAAAUAAAAAAAAUAAAUAAAAAAAAAAUAAAAUAAAUCAGGACUUCAUCAGGACUUCAAUACAGACAGUUACAUCAAGAUCCAGAAGUUCUGCAACCUGUUCCCAGGAGCAGACCCCAACCCUCGUCUCGUACUACCUUUCAGCAAAACAAUAUUCAACUGAAUAACUCUCUCUCCGGCCUCCUUCAAUCACCACGUGGAUUCAUGGAGAACGCUCUCGCCCCAUCUACCCGUUCUUACUACUCGACUGCCUGGUCUUCAUUUACUCACUUUUGCGAGUAAUAAAUAAAUAAAUAAAUAAUUAAAAAAAAAACAAAAAAAAAAAACGGAUCUCAUACCUCUUUCAACCUACAGCACUCCUCGCCUUCAUCACUCACCUCAGGCUGUCUCUAUGUUUAGCCCCCUCCUCUAUUUAGAUGCUACCUAGCGGGCAUUCAGUAUCAAUUUCGCCUCCAAUCUUUCUCCUCUCGUCCGUUCUAGAGAUAGCGGAUCUCUAGAGAGAACGCUCAGAGGUAUGGAGAAAAGCCUGCUCCCCUCCUCUCCAUCAAGUUAAUCAAUCUCUACUGACCUUCUCCUUUGUCUCAUCACUGCUCUCUGGCAAGGAUGCUUCAACCUAUUCAACGACAUCGUCAUGGAAACCCUGUGCCUGACCGUCGCCUUUGGAUUUCUCCGCUGUGCAGAAUUCUCAACUCCAUCAAUUUCCAACUUCCCAGCUCUAGGCCUCAAGUGCUCAGAUCUCUCUCAAAUCCCCGGAAACCACUUUAUCCUCUUCAUCAGAUCUUCAAAAACGGUCCAAUUAAGCCGAGGAUUCAGUAUCUUCUGUCAGAUCCCCUCUUCGACAGCUCCAGAUCUAUACUUGCGAGUCACUGGUUCUCAUCCCGUUUAUGCACCCUCUCGUCACGGAUCGGACUUUCUUCUACUAGGGUAUCAACACUUUGAUUAAGUCUAUGGGGCGCUGGAUCUCUUCAGCUGUGAACUUUAUAUUAGAUCAUCCUCUGCAGACAUCGCCACAGCUCACCAAGCACUUGUUAGCUUGCCCGGAGUGGGGGGCGCCCUCUCCGCCAGGCCCACCAGAGGUUUCCUCCCUGCAGUGCGGACGGCUUAUAGGCAUAGGUUGUCUACUAACAUCUCUUGUCUUUUCUCUUUUCUUCUAGCUUUUGUUUGUGUGUGGCUCUGCGAUCUCUUUUCUAUCCCACGGUGUGGUUCUUGCGGGGAGCCGGGGGUCCUCUUUUGGGGGGAAGUGAGUCUCACUCCCCCGGCUGUCCGGGUCGGCCUCUCGUCUCAACCACUGCCGCCCGGCUGUUCCUCGCCGGCCUGAGGGGACCCCCGGCCACAUCCUAUUCUUCUGCUGCUUAUGCGCUAAGCCUUCCAGGCCUCAACCUUGCUGUCCCAUCUCCUCUCUUCUAUUUCAGGUCCAGGACCAUUUCAGCCCCCUCAUGCAGUAGGCCGUGCCUCCACCUGCCGAGCUGGCCCCGACCGAGGGGGUGGGGGGUUUCUCUGUUUUCGUCUCUCCUAAACGGACCCGAGACACUUUUUCCUAAGCUCUCCACGCCGCCCAGCUGCCAGCUUAGCUGCCUGAGGAUGCUGCACUGAGUUGCGAAGGAUCUGUCCUUUUGUCCUGUUUGUCCCCUUCCUGUCUCUUGCUCCACUAAACGCCCAGCAGCCAGAGGAUGCUGCCUGACCCGUCGGGAGCGAGAGUCAGUUUGUUGUAUGUUAUAUGUCUAAACUUUGCUCUCUCUCUCUCACUUUUACGUCACCCAGCAGUCGGAGGAUGCUGCCUGACCUGGCGGAAAGUGUUUAUAUCUAAUCCUUUGCUCUUCUCAUGUCUCCCUCUCUACGUCGCCCAGCAGCCAGAGGAUGCUGCCUGACCCGACGAGAAGGGAAAACUCUUCGUCCCCCCUAUCUCGUCCUGCUAUCAGUAUCUAACCUCAAUGUUACUAAGCACCAUUCCCAAACUCCAGCCCUCAAUCUCGCCAUCCCUCAAACUCGUCUCACUCUUAAACUCUCAAAUGUCUCACCCCUCUCAAGCCUCCUAAGCAACCGGAGAAAUCCUCUCAUCUGGUCUCAUUCUUAAUAUCUCACUCCCAAUUUCGCCUCCUCUCAAGCCCUCGUAGGUAACCAGUGAAAUAUAUAUGUACAUUUAUCAGUGCGGCAGUGUUGAGUGGUGGUUAGGCUUCCAGACUUGCAUCCAAGUGUUUGAGGUUCGAUUCCCGGGUGGGGCACUGCCGUUGGCCCGUAUGUAAAUAGCUUUGGAUAAAAGCAUCUGCUAAAUUAAUUAAUUUUAUUUUAGUUUAUGUGAAUAUAUGAUUUCAGUUCUGUUCCUUUUGUAGUGGUGAGAGUGCCAAUGUUGAGGCUGCUCGACGACUUCAAGAAGCUGCAAGGAUUUUGAAGAGAGAGUCAGAAAGCACAGCCACUGCUGGCUCAGGAUCACAGACUGGUACUGGGAUGUGUUCACGCAGUUCUUUUAGCGGUUUGUUUAACAACAUGCAAACCUCACUAGCUGAAGUACAACAAGGAACCCCUACAGUCGAUUCAGGCAGGAUUCCCUGCACUGUAGCUAGAAAUGACCACAUUCAAAGAAAUCUUGUGCAGCUGUUUCAGCCAUGUGAUCAGGCAAGGGGGCAAAAGAUGUUCCAGAACACUGGAAAGUGUAAACGGAAAACUACACACAGUGAAACCUGGACACAUGAUUUAUUUUGCUUAGCAGAGACCAACGUUCAAACUGUGCCCAAUGGAGAAGACCGCAUUGGUUUACAGAAUUCAGGCCUUGGUAGGAAAAAAAUAACAUUUGCAGACGAAAAUGGAGGAUUUUCUUAACUAUGUGAAACUCUGUUUCUGAGAGAACUGAGAGUGGCCUGAACCAGGCAAUGGCCUAUAUUCGACCACUUCAGAAAAACCUGGAGAGCAUUGCGAAGCGUAAGAACAGUUGUCAAAAUCUAAUGUCCUCUAUAUUCCUUCUUCUUCGCCUCCCUUCUAUCACCCUUUCCCCUUCCUCCUCUGCCCAAACCUUGGUGUCACCUUUGAUUCCUCCCUUUCCAACUCUCAACAUAUUUCUUCACUGGCACGCUCUUACCGUCUCUUUUUGAGCAAUAUCUAUUGCAUUAAACCUGCUGGACUAUGGCUCUCGACGAUCAGGACUGGAGAUCUGGGUUAAGGUUUAAAUGCACAUGUAACACAUACUAUAAAAAUGAAGCAUGUUAAAAAUAAAUGUGUGUUUGUUUGUUGUAGUGUCAAGAGGUGGUCAUGGAGAAGUGCAAAAGGUGUGAAAAAUAUCCCUCUGAAAUGCCUUUCAGAACACAUUGAAAACUGUGGAAGACAGCCUGAUGACACUGAUUUGGAAGAUGAUGUCGUUAUGGAGAUAUAAUGUUUUCAAUGUGGAGUACUCUGUGAAAGAUAUCCUACAAUCCCUGAGAGUUGGAAUCAAUGAAGUCAUUCGCUUCAACUUAAACAGAAGAAAUGUGUGGGAUGGUGCUGUAGAGGCCAAACUUUUCAACCAACAAAAGAGUUGAUGUGAAAUUCACAGAUGAUGCUGGUGUUUCGGAAGGAGCAGUGGAUUUGGGAGGGCCAAUGAGGGAGUUUGUCAGACUAGUGCUGCAAUAUAUAAGAAACAGCCCUAUGUUUGAUGGCCCAGAAAAUCAACGUACUCUCUCAUGCCAUGCAGAGUGGUUGCCAUGGAAACUGUGGACCCACAAUCCUCCUGGUGCAUCGCUCACGUUACCGAUGGCGGAUAGAGCUGAAUGAAGGCAAGUUCGAGUUUGUUUUUUCCGAGUUUUCUUUUUAUAUUCGUUUGUUAUUGUAUAAAAAUUAAUACUCGAUCACAUGUGCUCAUAACAUAGACGAUGCAUGAUACAAUUUAGCUAUAUAUA